rnacentral:rRNA from 1 species
AGGAUGAACGCUGGCGGCGUGCCUAACACAUGCAAGUCGAGCGAGGAGGAGGAAGCUUGCUUCCAAAUCCUAGCGGCGGACGGGUGAGUAACGCGUGGGCAACCUACCCUAUGCAGGGGGAUAACAUUGGGAAACCAGUGCUAGUACCGCAUAAAGCCGAGAAGGGGCAUCCCUUCAUGGUCAAAGAACUUCGGCAUAGGAUGGGCCCGCGUCUGAUUAGUUAGUUGGUAAGGUAAAAGCUUACCAAGACGAUGAUCAGUAGCCGACCUGAGAGGGUGACCGGCCACACUGGAACUGAGACACGGUCCAGACUCCUACGGGAGGCAGCAGUGGGGAAUAUUGCACAAUGGGGGAAACCCUGAUGCAGCAACGCCGCGUGAGCGAAGAAGGCCUUCGGGUCGUAAAGCUCUGUCCUAAGGGAAGAUAAUGACGGUACCUUAGGAGGAAGCCCCGGCUAACUACGUGCCAGCCGCCGCGGU